CUUAAGUGGGGAAUAACGCAUCGAAAGGUGUGCUAAUACCGCAUGAGAUCUACGGAAGAAAGCAGGGGAUCGCAAGACCUUGCGCUAUACGAGCGGCCGAUGUCGGAUUAGCUAGUUGGUAGGGUAAAGGCCUACCAAGGCAACGAUCCGUAGCGGGUCUGAGAGGAUGAUCCGCCACACUGGGACUGAGACACGGCCCAGACUCCUACGGGAGGCAGCAGUGGGGAAUUUUGGACAAUGGACGCAAGUCUGAUCCAGCCAUGCCGCGUGAGUGAAGAAGGCCUUCGGGUUGUAAAGCUCUUUUGUCAGGGAGCAAAGCCUUAUCGAUAAUACCGAUAAGGGAUGAGAGUACCUGAAGAAUAAGCACCGGCUAACUACGUGCCAGCAGCCGCGGUAAUACGUGGGGUGCGAGCGUUAAUCGGAAUUACUGGGCGUAAAGCGUGCGCAGGUGGUUUUGUAAGCCAGAUGUGAAAUCCCCGGGCUCAACCUGGGAAUGGCAUUUGGGACUGCAAGGCUAGAGUGUGGCAGAGGGGGGUGGAAUUCCGCGUGUAGCAGUGAAAUGCGUAGAGAUGCGGAGGAACACCGAUGGCGAAGGCAGCCCCCUGGGUUGACACUGACACUCAUGCACGAAAGCGUGGGGAGCAAACAGGAUUAGAUACCCUGGUAGUCCACGCCCUAAACGAUGUCUACUAGUUGUUGGGGUAGCAAUACCUUAGUAACGCAGCUAACGCGUGAAGUAGACCGCCUGGGGAGUACGGUCGCAAGAUUAAAACUCAAAGGAAUUGGCGGGGGCCCGCACAAGCGGUGGAUGAUGUGGAUUAAUUCGAUGCAACGCGAAAAACCUUACCUACCCUUGACAUGUCAAGAAUAUCGCAGAGACGUGAUAGUGCCCGAAAGGGAACUUGAACACAGGUGCUGCAUGGCUGUCGUCAGCUCGNGUCGUGAGAUGUUGGGUUAAGUCCCGCAACGAGCGCAACCCUUGUCCUUAGUUGCUACCAUUAAGUUGAGCACUUUAAGGAGACUGCCGGUGACAAACCGGAGGAAGGUGGGGAUGACGUCAAGUCCUCAUGGCCCUUAUGGGUAGGGCUUCACACGUAA
rnacentral:rRNA from 1 species